rnacentral:rRNA from 1 species
UACGUAGGGGGCAAGCGUUGUCCGGAAUCAUUGGGCGUAAAGCGCGCGUAGGCGGCCCUGUAAGUCCGUUGUGAAAGUCAAAGGCUCAACCUUUGAAAGCCGAUGGAUACUGCAGGGCUAGAGUUCGGAAGAGGCGAGUGGAAUUCCUGGUGUAGCGGUGGAAUGCGCAGAUAUCAGGAGGAACACCAAUAGCGAAGGCAGCUCGCUGGGACGAUACUGACGCUAAGGCGCGAAAGCGUGGGGAGCGAACAGG